rnacentral:rRNA from 14 species
UCGAGCAGAGACGAAAGUCGGUCAUAGUGAUCCGGUGGUCCCGCGUGGAAGGGCCAUCGCUCAACGGAUAAAAGGUACUCUGGGGAUAACAGGCUGAUACCGCCCAAGAGUUCAUAUCGACGGCGGUGUUUGGCACCUCGAUGUCGGCUCAUCUCAUCCUGGGGCUGAAGCAGGUCCCAAGGGUAUGGCUGUUCGCCAUUUAAAGCGGUACGUGAGUUGGGUUCAGAACGUCGUGAGACAGUUUGGUCCCUAUCUGCCGUGGGUGUCGGAGAAUUGACAGGAUCUGCCCCUAGUACGAGAGGACCGGGGUGAACGUACCUCUUGUGGACCUGUUGUGGCGCCAGCCGCAUUGCAGGGUAGCUACGUACGGACGGGAUAACCGCUGAAAGCAUCUAAGCGGGAAGCCUCCCUCAAGAUAAGUUAUCAUCGAGUCGUGGAAGACCACCACGUUGAUAGGCCGGGUGUGGAAGUGCG